rnacentral:rRNA from 1 species
ACGUAGAGAAUCUGCCUCCAGGUCGGGGACAACAGUGGGAAACUGCUGCUAAUACCCGAUGUGCCCAAGGGUGAAAGAUUAAUUGCCUGGAGAUGAGCUCGCGUCCGAUUAGCUAGUUGGUAGAGUAAAAGCCUACCAAGGCUCCGAUCGGUAGCUGGUCUGAGAGGAUGAGCAGUCACACUGGGACUGAGACACGGCCCAGACUCCUUACGGGAGGCAGCAGUGGGGAAUUUUCCGCAAUGGGCGAAAGCCUGACGGAGCAAGACCGCGUGGGGGAUGAAGGCUCUUGGGUUGUAAACCCCUUUUCUCAGGGAAGAAGAACUGACGGUACCUGAGGAAUAAGCAUCGGCUAACUCCGUGCCAGCAGCCGCGGUAAGACGGAGGAUGCAAGCGUUAUCCGGAAUUAUUGGGCGUAAAGCGUUCGUAGGUGGCUGUUCAAGUCUGCCGUUAAAGACCGGGGCUUAACUCCGGAAAAACUGUGGAAACUGAACAGCUAGAGUAUGGUAGGGGUAAGGGGAAUUCCUGGUGUAGCGGUGAAAUGCGUAGAUAUCAGGAAGAACACCGGUGGCGAAGGCGCCUUACUGGGCCAUAACUGACACUGAGGGACGAAAGCUAGGGGAGCGAAAGGGAUUAGAUACCC